AGAGUUUGAUCAUGGCUCAGAUUGAACGCUGGCGGCAUGCCUUACACAUGCAAGUCGAACGGCAGCACGGGAGCAAUCCUGGUGGCGAGUGGCGAACGGGUGAGUAAUAUAUCGGAACGUGCCCAGUCGUGGGGGAUAACGCAGCGAAAGCUGUGCUAAUACCGCAUACGAUCUAUGGAUGAAAGCGGGGGACUCGCAAGGGCCUCGCGCGAUUGGAGCGGCCGAUAUCAGAUUAGCUAGUUGGUGGGGUAAAAGCCCACCAAGGCGACGAUCUGUAGCUGGUCUGACAGGACCACCAGCCACACUGGAACUGAGACACGUUCCAGACUCCUACGGGGAGGCAGCAGUGGGGAAUUUUGAGACAAUG
rnacentral:rRNA from 1 species